rnacentral:rRNA from 1 species
AGCGAACGCUGGCGGCAGGCUUAACACAUGCAAGUCGAGCGGGCGUAGCAAUACGUCAGCGGCAGACGGGUGAGUAACGCGUGGGAACAUACCUUUUGGUUCGGAACAACACAGGGAAACUUGUGCUAAUACCGGAUAAGCCCUUACGGGGAAAGAUUUAUCGCCGAAAGAUUGGCCCGCGUCUGAUUAGCUAGUUGGUGAGGUGAUGGCUCACCAAGGCGACGAUCAGUAGCUGGUCUGAGAGGAUGAUCAGCCACAUUGGGACUGAGACACGGCCCAAACUCCUACGGGAGGCAGCAGUGGGGAAUAUUGGACAAUGGGCGCAAGCCUGAUCCAGCCAUGCCGCGUGAGUGAUGAAGGCCCUAGGUUGUAAAGCUCUUUGUGCGGGAAGAUAAUGACGGUACCGCAAGAAUAAGCCCCGGCUAACUUCGUGCCAGCCGCCGCCGUAAU